GGGUCAGUAGGUUGGUCGUGCCACCGGUACGUACUGGUCUCACUGAUUCCUCCUUCCUGAAGAACCGUAAUGCCAUUAAUUUGGUGUUGCGGGGAAACAGGACUGUUACUUUGAAAAAAUUAGAGUGUUUAAAGCAAGCUAACGCUUGAAUACCUUAGCAUGGAAUAAUGAAAUAGGACGAUCGAUCCUAUUUUGUUGGUUUCUAGGAUUGACGUA
rnacentral:rRNA from 1 species